rnacentral:piRNA from 1 species
UUCGUACUUUAUUCAAAAAGU